UCCGGCUUAUCACCGGCAGUCCCACUAGAGUGCCCAACUAAAUGCUGGCAACUAAUGGCGAGGGUUGCGCUCGUUGCGGGACUUAACCCAACAUCUCACGACACGAGCUGACGACAGCCAUGCAGCACCUGUGUUCCAGGCUCCGAAGGGAAGGUCACAUCUCUGCGACCGGUCCUGGACAUGUCAAGGGCUGGUAAGGUUCUGCGCGUUGCGUCGAAUUAAACCACAUGCUCCGCUGCUUGUGCGGGUCCCCGUCAAUUCCUUUGAGUUAUAGCCUUGCGGCCGUACUCCCCAGGCGGGGCACUUAAUGCGUUAGCUUCGGCACGGAGGGAGUCGACACCCCCCACACCUAGUGCCCAUCGUUUACAGCGUGGACUAC
rnacentral:misc_RNA from 1 species